rnacentral:lncRNA from 1 species
ACGAGCUAGAACGUUUAUAUCGUUGUUCGAUCUGGCAAUGCCAAAAAAGGCAUGCCAUAUCCAAGUGUCAUAUGAGGCCACUUCUUCUAGAACGACAGUUGGCUUAUGCUUGUAGCCAGUAAACUAGCAUGCCCAAGUAGUGGGGCAGUUCUUCCAUUCCCAAUGCAUGCAGUCAAGACUGCUUAACAUGCCUGAGAAUCCUCU